rnacentral:rRNA from 1 species
UACGUAGGGCGCAAGCGUUAUCCGGAAUUACUGGGCGUAAAGGGAGCGUAGGCGGAUAGUUCAGUCAGAGGUGAAAGCCCGGGGCUCAACCCCGGAAUUGCCUUUGAGACUGCAUCGCUAGAAUUGUGGAGAGGUAAGUGGAAUUCCGAGUGUAGAGGUGAAAAUUCGUAGAUAUUCGGAAGAACACCAGUGGCGAAGGCGACUUACUGGACACAUAUUGACGCUGAGGUGCGAAAGCGUGGGGAGCAAACAGG